UACAGAGGCCUCGAGCGUUAGGCGGAAUCACUGGGCUUAAAGCGUGUGUAGGCGGACUUCUAAGUACCUUGUGAAAUCCCACAGCUUAACUGUGGAACUGCUUGGUAUACUGGUUGUCUUGAGGUACCUAGGGGCGAGCGGAACAAGUGGUGGAGCGGUGAAAUGCGUAGAUAUCACUUGGAACGCCAGCGGUGAAAGCAGCUCGCUGGGGGUAUCCUGACGCUGAGACACGAAAGCCAGGGGAGCAAACGGG
rnacentral:rRNA from 1 species